UUUCAUGUAUUUUGUAUAGCACAGAAUCCCACGUGGUAGCACCAGACUGGGAUCUGAAAGUGGAAAAAGAAAGUGUAUGAAAACGAAGGACAUUUAGUCUCCGUCUUGAUGGAUGCCGUCUCCGGAAUCAUGUGCCGAAAUAAUUUGGCAAUUUUCGCACCGCAGGGUCAAGCUCCAGCAGUGCAAUCAUCGCCCUACAGGUAAUGGCCCCAGUGGAUCUGUCCGUGCAGAGUGGUUUGGGAGACGCAGUGUCAGAAAUCAAAUCAUGCGGCGGGAGGGUAGCAGGGAGUUAGGGAAAGGAUUGGUGCUAACAAUCCUCCUGGAACCAGCCUACAAACGGGUAGUGGAUCGACUACUCGAAGCAGCACUUAUGCAAACUGAAUACCACCUUGUGUCUCUCAACUUCCAGCAAUUUGGUCGAAAUUAGGUGCAGCGGUUCUGACAUGAGGCUGACGCCUAUCUGUUUGGUUUACUCGAAUGGUUCCAACAAAAACGACAGCCCAGGGUGAGAGUUCAUUGACAGCCACCUCAGGCAUGGCUUAAGUGCCGUGUCAGCAGCAUGAUUGCCGCAGGAGGGGGCAUGUAGUGGGUCUAAUUGAGUCAUGCUUUUGAGCUUCUGUGACUUGUUUGGCAUGGAUCGAAGAGUUUGCACCAUCCCGGGUGAAGGUGUGGGACAUGCGGUCACGGUUCAUUAUUUCUGUUAUGUAUCUACAAUUCAAUGAAUGCAUCGUAGCAGAACAACAACCUGCCAGAUUUGUAGAUGUGAUUGUGCAUGUGUUAAAUAGCACGGUAGGCGACGAGGAUGCUGGACUGGUUCAAGAGCCUGGACACUAAAAGCCAAUUGAACUAUCUCGCUUUCAAGUAGGCACUAAGCACAGGCAACAAUAACGUUGAAGCGUUAUAUAAUGACGUGCUCUUAUUAACAGUUGCCUCUUCAUUUAUGCUUUCUUGACGGGCUAUCGAUUUUUCUCAGGUUUGCAGCCAAUGCAAAGUUGUGAUAGACGGGGAAAGCCACCAAUCCUGUAUGAGGGACAGGAAGAGACAUGGGGAUUUGAGGUGUAAUGCUGCAACUGGAAGGUCACGAGAAGGUCUGUCUGUGAACGCUUCGUGUUACUGAACAAUUAAAGCUCUUUAUGAUUGCUGCAACUCCAUGAACUAGAGUAUCUUCUCAAGAACAACCCACUGCCUUUACACCCGCCGAAAGAGCCUCCAUGGAUUGUCAGUAUUAAUAACUAAUCAGAUUAACCAAACUGUAUUAAGUGUAAGCAAGCACCUUCUAAGAAAUGCAACAUGCUAUCCCUUCAAAUUUCAGGAACUGAAAAUCAAUGAAAUGUGAAGGGAUAAUGUGUUGUUUCUUCCAACGCUAGCCUCAAACCGACGUUGUGGCCAGAACGAGGGUUUGAGAGCUGCAUGGUAUCUCAAGGCCCGCGGACAGAACUAUCAAGCAUCACUUGUGAAUAAUACGGAAAGAAACAAAGGAAUUUUUCCAUCACUAAACCAUGUGAAGUAUCAAGAUCAGAGACAUCACAAGCUAUACGUUAAGCAAGGGGAUAAGCAGCAGAUGAUGUAUUUCUGUGCUUGUACCUCCUUGUGGACUGUCGAUCCUCAAAGGCUGAUCGUUAAUAAGUCACAAAUGUGACGAAUAAAUCUGGCGUCGCGUAGAUGACAAGAAUCAUCAUGACAGCAUGUAUGAAAAACACUACACUUGCACAUUUGUAGAAAAAGAGGGUUCAUAAAGGAAAGUCUUCCUAACUUCACGCUGUCGCAUGUACAUCUGUUCAACAACUACGCAGAGAGCAACAGUACUGUACAGACGGGAAACGCCGAAACCCUAAACCCUAGGUACAUUAGUACAAUAAAAGUUAAGAAUUGAUCACACGGAGCAUCCGUAUUUCAUGACAUGCAGUAAUACGUUAAGGACGACAUUGGCAACCGAGACCAAUAUGAAAGGCGAGAAAGGUUUGAAAGCUGCAUCAGUUCCAGGUUUGGCAUGACGGAAUCUUUGCGUGGCCACUGCGAAUGGACGUCAAGCAGGCCCAAGGACCCAUCAUCUUCUACCUUAACACCAAACCCAGCCACGAAAUCCACCGAAAAACACUGACCUGAGACCUUUCACAAAGGUCAGCAAGGAAAAGCAGAAGGAAGUCACACAAGUACGAAUCAUCGACUUAGACGGAGCGCGUGACAUCAAGAGCAACGCGCACCUUGAUUGAGGGUUUAUUUAAGAAGUUGGACUCAUAUUAGGGUCUAAUAAAGAAGUUUCCCAAAUUCUAAUUCCAACGACUGCGCACACAAGAUCCGUGACACCACACUUGAAUUCGUUAAGCUUAGGUGACCCUCACGGCGAUGGCUGUGUGACCCACAACCGUGUGACUUCGGCCUACCCCAUCCAAAUUUUCUUUGCACUAGUCAUGGCAGAGGGCAGGUUUCAGAAAAAUUGAGGUAUGUAAUCUUUUGGACGUUUGGAUCACGGAAACAUCAUUCGUUAAGAGCGAGGUUCAGGAAGUCAUUGCUUAUCCUACUCUUUUCAUGACGAACUCUUAUUGUUCGUCUUGAAUCGGAUGGUGCUGCAAUGGAACAGUUUUGCAUAUGAAUUUGCCGCUGGAGUAUUCCGAAAAUUUUCAUGCGUGUGGAUCUGCGGCUUCAGAUUGAGGCGUCGUGCGUUUUUUUGCGUUGUAAUGAGGUUCCCAAGAUCAAAUUCACUUCGGGGGUGUAGUGCGCUAUGGAGUUUCUUUUGCGGCUCGUUGCUUCUCAUUGCUCAAUUUGUGUAGCAUCUGCUGUAUUGUGAUUGUUGUUAUCGAGGAAAACGUAGUCGCUAUCGCAGACGGACUAUCUGCCUGCUGUAGCUGUAAUGGAUUACAUUUCAGUUGAACAGCACUUAGUGCAUAGUAACAGAUUUGUAGUGCUCUGGAAAAUUUCGUAGCUAUUUGAUUCAGGCAUUGUUCUGGACAUUGUCAAUGAUGAGUGGUUGACAGACAAACACCCCAACAACGGUGUACAUAUUCCCACCUGGCCGUGAUAAGGGAACGGUAAUAACAAUUGUAAACCAGUAUUACUGUGUGUGACUUCUUUGUAAAAUUUUCGUGGAUUAUGCAAAUCUAACUCCUGCAUUCGUUUGACACAUAUGCCUUGCCUUGUGGACGUUACUUUUCCUGCCAAUCAUAUCAAUGAAGAAAGUGUGAAUUUCUUCUGGCUUUCCCUUACUCACACGUAGUAUUGAAAUCUCCAAUUUUGUGGAGUUUCGUUGAAUGGUGAGGACCUGCAGUAGUCUGUUGAAAAGUUGUGCUUUCUCAGACUGCAAUUUCUGACCAGGAAACUCCAUUUGGUCCAGGAUGAUAGAUAGUGGACAUUAGGAUUAUAGGUUUCAAUGUGGUGCUUCUAUCUUGUGUUCCCACUCUUGAUGCACCUUCACUCUGCACUGAAUUAGACUCCUAGUGAUCGAGAACUACUACUAGCCAAAGAAGACAAGUGGACACAGCUGCGCCUGCGUUACGGACAUGCAAAACUAGGAAUAAGUAAUGCUGCUGCGGAGCUUCAAUGUCAUAAGAUCCUUUCAGAGACUACCUUAUCUGAGUUUUGUGAAUCAAUUUAGUUACGAUUCUUCGCGCUAUUUCUUGUUUUUAUUUUGAUUUCAUUUUUUCGUGUGUGCACAUGCAUACAAAGUCACGAUAUUAGGAGCCAGUAAUUUGCAGUACACUACCAUAAUACUUGCAAGACUAGGAAGAAGGUCGAUACCAGUGUGGGGUUUUCAUCUCUUAGUUAUUGAUUUAUCUAAAUCAAUAAACACAGCUGGUUAAAAUAAAUUGAUUGAUAUGUUUGCUUAUUGAUUGAUUUAGAACUUUUAUUCCAGAAGCUUUGAUAGCAACUACGUUCCACAUUAACAAUCAUCAGCAGUGUAAUUUUGGCAGAGGUCGAUUGGUUGAUUUGGUAGUAUUUUCUAAAAUUCAGCAGAACCAGACCAUGUACCUUCAAAUCUUGUAUAGGAUCUUACAAUCUUUGGCUUGUUUCUCGUUAAAAAGGUAGUGCUAUUCAGAUAAUUGUUAAUAAUCCAUGCAGCAAUGUGGUUGGAUCUGGAUAUCACACUGCUACAAAAUGAAGUAUAUCUGCAGUUUGUAUGGGUUACCUUGGCUACAGGAAAAUAAUUCCUAAGACUUCGCAACAUGCUUGAGCGAUGAUACCAACUGCCAACUGAAGAUGCUAGAAUCCACAUUUGAACCUAUCGUGUGAUCCCAAGGUCUUAACAAGGGUGUAUGUAUAUCGGAUAUGAACCUGUUGAGCACUGUUCUUCACUCAUAAAUGAUCUCAGAUACAAGCUCCGUCCAGCCUUUCUUGAGUUGCUUUGGGAUGUUGGACAGUAAACUAGCUGCCUGGUAAGGUCCAUGUAGUAGUGAGUCUUCAAAAGUGUAGGUGGUUUCUGGUCGGUGAGGAAUUCCGGCAUUUGCUAAGCAUUUUAAUCCAGUAAGCUAGUUUUGAUUCAGUUUGGAUUGAAUAUGUCGACGUAAGACAAGGGUCAUAAGUCUUAGAGUCUAGGGCUCCUGCAGAAUUGAAAAUGUAUUAGUUUGUUAGAUGUUUUUUCUGCAGCGUAAAGAGUGGUACAUCAUUUGACUUAUAAAGCUUGUAUGGUGGACACACGAGCUCAUUAUGCGAGAUACCCUCUCGACUUUGCUUGCACGACACUGAUACUUAACAUCAAUUUUAUAUUUUGAAUGUAUUUUUACAUUUGUUAUCAGAAGCAUGCUGAAAUAUGUAGGGUAAUGAGAUUUGGAUCAUUGCCCUAUACGUUCAACAAACAUCUCAUUAUUGAAGAUGUGAGGCUGCUGUUCUAGA